rnacentral:rRNA from 1 species
AGCAGCCGCGGUAAUUCCAGCUCCAAUAGCGUAUAUUAAAGUUGUUGCAGUUAAAAAGCUCGUAGUUGAAUUUCGGGAUUAGUACGUUGGUCGUGCCUUAGGUACGUACUGGUGUUACUGGUUCCUACCUUCUGACGAACCAUCAUGUCAUUAAUUUGGUGUGGCGGGGAAUCAGGACUGUUACUUUGAAAAAAUUAGAGUGUUUAAAGCAGGCUCGCGCUUGAAUACAUUAGCAUGGAAUAAUGAAAUAGGACGUUGACCCUAUUUUGUUGGUUUUUAGGAUUGACGUAAUGAUUAAUAGGGAUAGUUGGGGGCAUCAGUAUUCAAUUGUCAGAGGUGAAAUUCUUGGAUUUAUUGAAGACUAACUACUGCGAAAGCAUUUGCCAAGGAUGUUUUCAUUAAUCAAGAACGAAAGUUAGGGGAUCGAAGACGAUCAGAUACCGUCGUAGUCUUAACCAUAAACUAUGCCGACUAGGGAUCGGAUGAUGUUAAUUUUUUAAUGACUCAUUCGGCGCCUUACG